rnacentral:tRNA from 43 species
GGGGCCUUAGCUCAGCUGGGAGAGCGCCUGCUUUGCACGCAGGAGGUCAUCGGUUCGAUCCCGAUAGGCUCCAUCA